rnacentral:rRNA from 1 species
UACGAAGGGGGCUAGCGUUGCUCGGAAUCACUGGGCGUAAAGGGUGCGUAGGCGGGUCUUUAAGUCAGGGGUGAAAUCCUGGAGCUCAACUCCAGAACUGCCUUUGAUACUGAGAGUCUUGAGUUCGGGAGAGGUGAGUGGAACUGCGAGUGUAGAGGUGAAAUUCGUAGAUAUUCGGAGGAACACCAGUGGCGAAGGCGGCUCACUGGUCCAUUACUGACGCUGAGGUGCGAAAGCGUGGGGAGCAAACAGG